GGCCGUGUAGCCUAAUGGAUAUGGCGUCGGACUUCGAAUCCGGAGGUUGCGGGUUCGAGUCCCGUCAUGGUCA
rnacentral:tRNA from 1 species